UACAGGGGGGGCAAGCGUUGUUCGGAAUUACUGGGCGUAAAGGGCUCGUAGGUGGCCAACUAAGUCAGACGUGAAAUCCCUCAGCUUAACUGGGGAACUGCGUCUGAUACUGGAUGGCUUGAGUUUGGGAGAGGGAUGCGGAAUUCCAGGUGUAGCGGUGAAAUGCGUAGAUAUCAGGAGGAACACCGGUGGCGAAGGCGGAUCUCUGGGCCUUACCUGACGCUGAGGAGCGAAAGCAUGGGGAGCAAACAGG
rnacentral:rRNA from 1 species